rnacentral:rRNA from 1 species
GAUUAUGACGUGCUUGCACUGAAUGAGAUUUUAACACGAAGUGAGUGGCGGACGGGUGAGUAACACGUGGGUAACCUGCCCAGAAGCAGGGGAUAACACCUGGAAACAGAUGCUAAUACCGUAUAACAGAGAAAACCGCCUGGUUUUCUUUUAAAAGAUGGCUCUGCUAUCACUUCUGGAUGGACCCGCGGCGCAUUAGCUAGUUGGUGAGGUAACGGCUCACCAAGGCGAUGAUGCGUAGCCGACCUGAGAGGGUAAUCGGCCACAUUGGGACUGAGACACGGCCCAGACUCCUACGGGAGGCAGCAGUAGGGAAUCUUCCACAAUGGACGCAAGUCUGAUGGAGCAACGCCGCGUGAGUGAAGAAGGGUUUCGGCUCGUAAAGCUCUGUUGUUAAAGAAGAACGUGGGUGAGAGUAACUGUUCACCCAGUGACGGUAUUUAACCAGAAAGCCACGGCUAACUACGUGCCAGCAGCCGCGGUAAUACGUAGGUGGCAAGCGUUAUCCGGAUUUAUUGGGCGUAAAGCGAGCGCAGGCGGUCUUUUAAGUCUAAUGUGAAAGCCUUCGGCUCAACCGAAGAAGUGCAUUGGAAACUGGGAGACUUGAGUGCAGAAGAGGACAGUGGAACUCCAUGUGUAGCGGUGAAAUGCGUAGAUAUAUGGAAGAACACCAGUGGCGAAGGCGGCUGUCUGGUCUGUAACUGACGCUGAGGCUCGAAAGCAUGGGUAGCGAACAGGAUUAGAUACCCUGGUAGUCCAUGCCGUAAACGAUGAUUACUAAGUGGUGGGAGGGUUUCCGCCCUUCAGUGCUGCAGCUAACGCAUUAAGUAAUCCGCCUGGGGGAGUACGACCGCAAGGGUUGAAACUCAAAAAGAAUUGGCGGGGGGCCCGCACAAGCGGGGGGAGCAUGGUGGUUUUAAUUCGAAGCUACGCGGAAGAACCUUUACCAG